rnacentral:tRNA from 1 species
AGAAACAUGGUUUAAAUAAAACAUUAAGUUNCAAACUUAAAAAUGGUUGUGACCUGUUUUUU